GAGCAAAGGGGCCGGAUAUAGUGGCGAAUCUUUGCAUUGAAGGUUGGCGACACAGUAUGCAGUUCUCCGUGCCGCUCAGACUUUGCUCUGCUGUGACGGCCUCGAACAAUCUGCUACAUC
rfam:Hordeum vulgare subsp. vulgare, WGS project CAJW01000000 data, contig: morex_contig_239385